rnacentral:rRNA from 1 species
GUGGGGAAUUUUGGACAAUGGGCGCAAGCCUGAUCCAGCCAUUCCGCGUGCAAGAUGAAGGCCUUCGGGUUGUAAACUGCUUUUGUACGGAACGAAAAGGCUCUGGUUAAUACCUGGGGCUCAUGACGGUACCGUAAGAAUAAGCACCGGCUAACUACGUGCCAGCAGCCGCGGUAAUACGUAGGGUGCAAGCGUUAAUCGGAAUUACUGGGCGUAAAGCGUGCGCAGGCGGUUUUGUAAGACAGACGUGAAAUCCCCGGGCUCAACCUGGGAAUGGCGUUUGUGACUGCAAAGCUGGAGUGCGGCAGAGGGGGAUGGAAUUCCGCGUGUAGCAGUGAAAUGCGUAGAUAUGCGGAGGAACACCGAUGGCGAAGGCAAUCCCCUGGGCCUGCACUGACGCUCAUGCACGAAAGCGUGGGGAGCAAACAGGAUUAGAAACCCCAGUAGUCC